AAAAAAUUAUCUACAUUAAAGAUCGUUCCAACUUUUAAAAUUUUAACUUUACUAUUUUAAUUUGAAUCAAUCAGUAACACUAAUUAUUUAUUUUAAUAAAUUAGUUGUGAAAAUUGCAUGAAUUCGUAAAAAUAAAUGGCGUAUUUAAAUUUUAAAAUUAAAAUAUUAUUAACUGAUUCAAAUCAAAUAAAUUAAAAAAUUUUAAAAUUUUUUAAAAAUUUGAAUAGCCAAAUCAAAAUAAUUUAUAAUUCAAAUAAAUUCUACAUAUUUUUACCUUUAAUUAAAAAUUGAGUUUUAUUUGAUUUUAAAAUUAUCUAAAUACUCUCCA
rnacentral:lncRNA from 1 species